AUGGAGAGUUUUUCAUAAAAUUGAUGGAUUUGAUUGACAUAUGUACAACAAUUUUAAUGCCUUUAAGCAAGAGAUAAAGGAAAUCAGAAUAGAUUUUCUUAAUAGAAUGGUCAAUGGAUUUAUUACUUAAUAGCUGACAUUACACGACCUACUGCUACAUGAAGAAGUUUUUGUGAUGAAGACGCAGUUAUUUUAGAAUGUUGAUCAGUAUCUUUAUAAAACAUUAAAGUACUUCUAUGUUUGAUGUUUGAAUUCAGGUUUUUUGACUUGUUAUUUUGCAAAGCAUCUGCAUCAUUAUUGUAAAUGAAACUUUGUAAUUUCAUCUUGUUUGUCAAAUCUGUAUACAUUUACCAAUAAAGUUGUUUUUAACUCUUUUUUAAUAAAAAACUUGGAAAGUUUU